rnacentral:misc_RNA from 1 species
AAAAACAGUAACUACAAUUUCUCAGAUGGAAAGGUUACUAGUUAGGCAUCGUGCUCGUUCACGUGCUAUGAGACCUAGGUGGUCCUCGGAACGUGACAAGGAAAUUCUGGCUGCUAGGUUACAGAUAGAGAAUGCUCCACUUAUAAGAAAUGAUCGAGAAAUUUAUGCUCCCGCCUUUCGAAAUAUGUCCAUGUUCAAAAGGAGCUAUGAA